AUGGACAAGACUUGGAUAACUUCUGCUCGAAGAUUCUUUGCUGCAUAUGUCGAGGGGGUUGAAAACUUCAUGAAGUUUAUCAGAGCUGAGUACAGUGGUCCGAAAUCAUAUGUGCUCUGCCCGUGUAGCAGUUGUAUGAAUUCAUUUACAAGACCCCUGUCAGCUGUGCAAAAUCAUCUACACUUGUAUGGGAUGUCGGUCACAUAUACUAGGUGGGUUCAUCAUCGUGAAGCCGUGAAUGUCAACGUUACUGACUACGUGGAAGCAGUAGAUCACCAUCUUGAUCUGCCUGAUGCUCAGGUGGAAGAGGAGGAGGAGUUGGUGGUGGUGGAGCCAGUGAGUUUGACCAACAUUGAAACAAUGCUACGAAAUGCUCAUGCAUUUCAUGAACUUUCACAUGCAGAAGAAAAAUGGUGGGCCCGCAUGUUGGAACAAUGCAAUGUGGCUGUCACCCCAGGAAAUAAGCUGUCAGUAUUCUCAGCUAUGGUCACCUUUCUUCAGGUGAAGACAUCUGAGCGGAUGACCAACAAAUCAUUCGAUGCGACGUUGGCUGCUUUACGCAAAGCUUUCCUAGAUGCGUCUGAGAUGCCACACACCUACAGUAAAAUGAAGAAUUUUCUUCGUGCAGUUGGAAUUGGAUAUGAUAUGAUCCAUGUUUGUAAGAAUAAUUGUGUUCUGUUCCGGAAGGAUUAUGCCAACUUAAGUGAAUGCCCAAAAUGCAAAUCAUCAAGAUGGAAAGAUGGCGAUGCUAUGAAGAGGAUUCCUCAUAAUGUUCUAAGACAUUUUCCAAUUACACCAAGAUUGUAG
rnacentral:rRNA from 1 species